UACGUAGGGUGCGAGCGUUGUCCCGAAUUACUGGGCAUAAAGAGCUUGUAGGUGGUUUGUCGCGUUGUUCGUGAAAUCUCACGGCUCAACUGUGAGCGUGCGGGCGAUACGGGCAGACUAGAGUACUGCAGGGGAGACUGGAAUUCCUGGUGUAGCGGUGGAAUGCGCAGAUAUCAGGAGGAACACCGGUGGCGAAGGCGGGUCUCUGGGCAGUAACUGACGCUGAGAAGCGAAAGCGUGGGGAGCGAACAGG
rnacentral:rRNA from 1 species